rnacentral:rRNA from 1 species
UACAGAGGGUGCGAGCGUUGUCCGGAAUCACUGGGCGUAAAGGGCGCGUAGGUGGCGCUGCAAGUCGGUGGUGAAAGCUCGAUGCUUAACAUCAAGUCGGCCAUCGAAACUGCAGGGCUCGAGCACUGUAGGGGCAGAUGGAAUUCCGGGUGUAGCGGUGGAAUGCGUAGAGAUCCGGAAGAACACCGGUGGCGAAGGCGGUCUGCUGGGCAGUUGCUGACACUGAGGCGCGACAGCGUGGGGAGCAAACAGG